CAAGGUGUUAUCCCAGCGGAUAAGAUUAGUAAAUUUAAGAACAAAAUUUGAGAAGGAGUGAUCUACAUGAUCCAGCAUUACCUGAUUCUGAGAGCAAAAGAAAAAUACAGAGCCACUGAUCAUCCUUUCAGGCUUUCUUUUAUUAAUACAAAUAUUGUGUGUCCUGUCAAUCCUCAGCUUCCUGGUUUUCCUCUCAUCGCUCAUAAUGCUCUUCCAUUCUCUGAAGUAGAAAACCGAAUCGGAUCAAAUGUGCUUAUGUCAGAUGUAAUUGCUCUAGUUACAGGAAUCACGGAUUUUCUUCCUCCUACUGUAAAUGCACGGGAGCCAAGACGUCAAAUCUUUAUUACCAACCGACAAUAUACUAUCAUUUUUCUCACAUUUACAGCAGUGUACAUCAUCCAUGAAUGA
rnacentral:rRNA from 1 species